rnacentral:rRNA from 1 species
GGCCUGGAUUGGCGGCUCAGAUUGAACGCUGGCGGGAUGCUUUACACAUGCAAGUCGAACGGCAGCACGGGACUUCGGUCUGGUGGCGGUGGCGAACGGGUGAGUAAUGUAUCGCGGAACGCCUAGUAGCGGGGGAUAACUACGAAAGCGUAGCUACUACCGCAUACGUCUCUUCGGGGAAAGCGUGGGACCUUCGGGCCUCGCACUAUUAGAGAGCGGCCGAUAUCGGAUUAGCUGGUUGGUAGCAACGGCUCACCAAGGCGACGAUCAUCCGUAGCUGGUUUGAGAUACCACACCAGCCACACUGACGUGGAGACACGGCCCAGACUCUACGGAGGCAGCAGUGGGAAUUUUGGAUUACCGGGGAAACCUGAUCCAGCCAUCCGCGUGUGCGAUGAAAGGCCUUCGGGUUGUAAAGCACCUCUUUGGCAGGAAGAAACGGCACGAUAAUACCCCGUGCAACCGAUUGCGCCCGCAGAAUAAGCACCGGCUAACUACGUGCCAGCAGCCGCGGUAAUGCAGGGUGCAAGCGUUAAUCGGGAAUUACUGGGCGUAAAGCGUGCGCAGGCGGUUCGGAAAGAAAGAUGUGGAAAUCCCAGAGCUUUAACUUUGGAACUGCAUUUUUAACUACCGAGCUUGAGUGUGUCAGGGAGGGAGGUGGAAUUCGCGUAGCAGUGAAAUGCGUAGAUAUGCGGAGGAACACCGAUGGCGAAGCAGCCUCCUCGGGAUAACACCGACGCUCAUGCACGAAAGCGUGGGGAGCAAACAGGAUUAGAUACCUGGUAGUCCACGCCCCAAACGAUGUCAACUAGUUGUUAGCCUUCGGGCCUUGGCAGGCGCAGCUAACGUGAAGUUGACCGCCUGGGGAGUACGGUCGCAAGAUUAAAACCCGGGAAAUUGACGGGACCGCACAAGCGGUGGAUGAUGUGAUUACCCAGAUGCAACGAAAAACCUUACCUACCCUUUGACAUGUCUGGAAUCCCGAAGACGGAGCGCUCGCAAGAGAACCGAACACAGGUGCUGCAUGGUUGUCAGCUCGUGUCGUGAGAUGUUGGGUUAAGUCCCGCAAUCGAGCGCAACCUCUUGUCAUUAGUUGCUGCUGAAAGGGCACUCUAAUGAGACUGCCGGUGACAAACUGGAGGGGAAGGUGGGGAUGACGUCAAGUCCUUCUCAUGGCCCUUAUGGGGUAGGCUUUCACACGUCAUACAAUGGUCGGGACAGAGGGUCGCCAACCCGCGUAGGGUGGGAGCCAACCGAGAAACCCGAUCGUAGUCCGAUCGCAGUCUGCAACUCGACUGCGUGAAGUCGGAAUCGCUGGGUAACGAUCAGCGUCGCGGUGAAUACGUUCCUGGUCUUGUACACACCGCCUGUCACACCAUGGAGUGGGUUUUACCAGAAGUAGUUAGCCUAACCGUAAGGAGGGCGAUUACCACGGUAGGAUUCAUGACUGUGUGGAAGUCGUAACAAGGUAG